rnacentral:tRNA from 2 species
UCUAAUAUGGCAGAACAGUGCAAUGGACUUAAACCCCAUAUACAAAGGUUGAUCUUUUUUUAGAA